rnacentral:rRNA from 1 species
AUUGAACGCUGGCGGCAGGCUUAACACAUGCAAGUCGAGCGAGCGGCGGACGGGUGAGUAAUGUCUGGGAAACUGCCUGAUGGAGGGGGAUAACUACUGGAAACGGUAGCUAAUACCGCAUACCAUCAGAUGUGCCCAGAUGUGAUGAGCUAGUAGGUGGGGUAUUGGCUCACCGAGGCGACGAUCCCUAGCUGGUCUGAGAGGAUGACCAGCCAAACUGGAACUGAGACACGGGCCAGACUCCUACGGGAGGCAGCAGUGGGGAAUAUUGCAAAAUGGGCGCAAGCCUGAUGCAGCCAUGCAGCGUGUGUGAAGAAGGCCUUCGGGUUGUAAAGCACUUUCAGCGAGGAGGCGUUACUCGCAGAAGAAGCACCGGCUAACUCCGUGCCAGCAGCCGCGGUAAUUC